rnacentral:rRNA from 1 species
CCUACUGGAGGCAGCAGUGAGGAAUAUUGGUCAAUGGGCGAGAGCCUGAACCAGCCAAGUCGCGUGAGGGAGUACUGCCCUAUGGGUUGUAAACCUCUUUUGUCGGGGAGCAAAAGCCGGACGUGUCCUGCUGUGAGAGUAACCGAAGAAAAAGCCUCGGGUAACUCCGUGCCCGCAGCCCCGGUAAUACGGAGGAUGCAAGCGUUAUUCGGAUUUAUGGGGUUUAAAGGGUGCGCAGGCGGAUGUUUAAGUCAGCGGUCAAAUCGUGGGGCUCAACCCCAUCCAGCCGUUGAAACUGGGGAUCUGGAGGUUGCGAGAGGUAUGCGGAAUGCGUGGUGUAGCGGUGAAAUGCAUAGAUAUCACGCAGAACCCCGAUUGCGAAGGCAGCAUACCGGUGCACAACUGACGCUCAGGCACGAAAGCGUGGGUAUCGAACAGGAUUAGAGACCCCUGUAGUC